rnacentral:lncRNA from 1 species
AUGGUUCUCCCAACCCCACUUCCUCCCAACACAGGUUCGGAAGCCCAGGGCCUGUGGAAGCUCAUGUGGGCAAAGCAUCCGGAACGUGCCUGGCACAGGGUCAGACCUCUCCAGUGGAACACUGCCCACCACUCCGUGGCCCCCCAGGCCCCCAGCCACUGCAGAGGCCGUCUGUGCCCGCACCCUCAAGGUCCUAAGCAGCCCCGCCCCGCAGGCGGGCAGAGCAGAGCACCCCACCUGCGGCUUCCUGUUGGGCUUCCUGGAAAAUGCCAGCUCCACAGCUGGGCUUCAGUGGAAGCUGUGUCUUGGCCCCACCCCAGUGACCAGAGGCCUUACAAGGACCCUGUCCAUGCUCCCGCUGGCACCAGGGACAGGAACUAUGAGAAACCCUCUGCAACAGCAGCCCACAUCCUGCUGGUCCUGAGGUCCGACCCUGUUGGGGAGCCUGAGCUAAACAAUCUGGGGACCAAAACCGUGAAGUCACUCAUACAAGGCUGUCCAGUGAUGGGCCAGGACCGGCAUCUCUGUGGAUGAGCCCUUCCCAUUGGUGUGACCCGGAUGCAGAGAAGACACCGCCCUCCAGAUGCCCCACCACCCCCCUGCCCGACACACACACACACACACACACACACACAUCACAAAUACACCACACCCCCACCACACACACACACACACCACACACACACACACACGCCCCAUCACACCUGCACCACACACACACACACACCACACACACAUCACAAAUACACCACACACACACAAACCCACCCACCACACACACCACACACACAGACACACAUACGGCCCACCACACCCCCACCACACCCACAUACACACAAACGGAGGGGGAAAGGUUGGAAAGAAUUUUUGAUCUGUUUCAAUAAAACACCAAACAUAGCGUUGAAGGAAAAGCCA